GCCUACGGGGCGCAGCAGUGAGGAAUAUUGGUCAAUGGGCUUACGCCUGAACCAGCCAAGUCGCGUGAGGGAAGACUGCCCUAUGGGUUGUAAACCUCUUUUGUCAGGGAGCAACGCCGGCUACGUGUAGCCGGACUGAGAGUACCUGAAGAAAAAGCAUCGGCUAACUCCGUGCCAGCAGCCGCGGUAAUACGGAGGAUGCGAGCGUUAUCCGGAUUUAUUGGGUUUAAAGGGAGCGCAGGCGGCACGGCAAGCCUGAUGUGAAAGCCCGCGGCCCAACCGCGGGACUGCAUUGGGAACUACCG
rnacentral:rRNA from 1 species